rnacentral:misc_RNA from 1 species
AUGAAAUAAAAACUUCGCAUCCAUCUAUCUCCAUGCGGUGCCCAACCCCAACUGGGUUUUCCAUCAUGGCCGCCACCGGCGACCAACUCGCCGCGGUGCGCGUACGCGGCCGAGCCUCCGUCCGCGUCAACCCCUCCUUUUUCUCUCCCAAUACCGCCUCAUCCACCUCAUCUCCCUCUUCGGCGCAUCCAAUGUUCGGCGUCUUCUGUAAGGGACAGCAAAUGUUGAUCGCCGACGAGAUGGUAGGCCUUGCCGACGGAGACCCCGGAACGCCGGUGCUAGCGGUGGCCGUGUGCGGGCCGCAGGGAGAUGUUGUGGUCGGGGGGCACAAACCCGCGUCAGGAUUUGUGAGCGGGCACGACGGCGGCGGCGGCGAUGUCGGACAGGUGCUGCUGGAGGCGAUGGCGCUCGUGGAGGGCCUCCGUACCGCGAUCAGGAUGGGCAUCACCAGCGUCAAGGCCUUCACCGAUCACAGGCUGCUGUACAACUGUAUGGUUGGGCUUUCUCGUCCAGCAGGUGACGAGCAGCUUGCAGAUAUGAUCAGCCAGGCUCUGUCAGCACAAAAGCAAUUCGAGCGAUGCGAGAUAUCACUUGCUGAGCAAGGCCAAGUCGGCAACGCUGUGAAGCUAGCAAAGGAGGUGGAACUGGAGGCGGAGAUCGGCAGGUACCUCUCCACAACAAAGGAGAGAACGGAGACAUGCAGGAUCUGCCUGGAGGACGUGGACAGCAGGAAGAUGCACGCGGUGGAAGGCUGCGCGCACCGCUUUUGCCUCGUCUGCAUGAAGACGCACAUGAAAAUGAGGCUACUCGGCGGGCUGGCCCCGCGCUGCCCGCAGCCUGGUUGCGCGACCAAGCUCGGCGCGGAGGGCGCAGCAGCGUUGCUGUCGCCACGGCUUGUGGGGAUGAUGGCGCAGCGGCGGCUGAAGGAGGAGGAGGAGGAGGAGCAGAUGAGUAUCCACCCGAGCCUGAGGGUGUACUGCCCGUACCCGAGGUGCUCGGCGCUGAUGCCCCUGAGCGAGGUGCUGCGAGGGUCGCUGAGCCCAGAGUACCCUGCGACGUUCAGGGAGUGCGCGGAGUGCGGAGGGCCCAUGUGCGUGGAGUGCAAGGUGCCGUGGCACGGGCCGUUGAGCUGCCCCGAGUACCGGAGGCGGUACCCCCACGGUGGCGGCCCUGAGGACGUGGCGCUCCAGAAGCUUGCGAGGCAGCGGCUGUGGCAGCGGUGCGAGAGCUGCCACCACAUGAUUGAGCUCGCCGUGGGUUGCGCCCACAUUAUCUGCGUGUGCGGUAGUCAUCUGUGCUACAGAUGUGGGAAGGCACUAGCGGAUGAUGGAAGGUGCGGCUGCAGCGGAUUGGCAGAUGGCAGGAGACCAUGGUAUUUCCGGCUGCCAGCAUGCUGGGGAGGCAGAGGCACGCGUCGUUAGCUAGCUUUGCUUGGACUGGAUUAGUUUAUUUAUUUAUUUAUUUCGUGCUAUUCUCAGAGUAGCUAGGUUCAGGAUUAUUCAGUUAGGGCAUGGGAGAUAAAUAAACAAUUGCUGAAAAUAACAGCUUUAUGGUGCUCUCAAAAGAGUUGGUCGUUGGGCUGCUAAAACCUAGCCGAUCGAGCUUGGCAGGAAUGACUUGUUCCAUAUAUAAUACAGCAUCGAUUUUGCGUUGCUUGCUCC